ensembl:rRNA 5S_rRNA 5S ribosomal RNA
GCUUACGGCCAUACCAGCCUGAAUGCGCCCGAUCUCGUCUGAUCUCGGAAGCUAGGCAGGGUCGGGCCUGGUCAGUACUUGGAUGGGAGACCGCCUGGGAAUACCAGGUGCCGUAAGCC